UACGUAGGGUGCGAGCGUUGUCCGGAAUUAUUGGGCGUAAAGAGCUCGUAGGUGGUUUGUCGCGUUGUUCGUGAAAUCUCACGGCUUAACUGUGAGCGUGCGGGCGAUACGGGCAGACUAGAGUACUGCAGGGGAGACUGGAAUUCCUGGUGUAGCGGUGGAAUGCGCAGAUAUCAGGAGGAACACCGGUGGCGAAGGCGGGUCUCUGGGCAGUAACUGACACUGAGGAGCGAAAGCGUGGGGAGCGAACAGG
rnacentral:rRNA from 1 species